rnacentral:rRNA from 1 species
UACGUAGGAGGCAAGCGUUUGUCCGGAAUUACUGGGCGUAAAGCGUGCGUAGACGGUAGCGUAAGUCGGGUGUGAAAGCCCCGGGCUCAACCUGGGAAUUGCAUUCGAGACUGCUCUGCUAGGGUGCGGAAGAGGGAAGCGGAAUUUCCGGUGUAGCGGUGAAAUGCGUAGAUAUCGGAAGGAACACCAGUGGCGAAAAGCGGCUUCCUGGUCCAGUACCGACGUCAGGCACGAAAGCGUGGGGAGCAAACAGG